GCACCACUAGCUCAACUGGCAGAGCAGUUGACUCUUAAUCAACGGGUUCAGGGUUCGAGUCCCUGGUGGUGUA
rnacentral:tRNA from 1 species